rnacentral:lncRNA from 1 species
UGAAACUAAACUGCUCGGCUCACCUCAGGAAUAGAUGCAUAUUCUGAUUGCCUCUUCUGGAAAGACUUAUCAGAAACUCAAAAGAACACAACCAUCUGUCUCUCACCUACAUGUGACCUGGAAGACCCCAGUUGGCGGCAGUGGUGAGCAUUUUAUUGCCCUGGAAAAGAUUGUGGUUUUGUUGCAAGGAAGAAGAGAAGAAUGACAUUUUUG